rnacentral:rRNA from 1 species
AACGAACGCUGGCGGCAUGCCUAACACAUGCAAGUCGAACGAGACCUUCGGGUCUAGUGGCGCACGGGCGCGUAACGCGUGGGAAUCUGCCCUUGGGUGCGGAAUAACAGUUAGAAAUGACUGCUAAUACCGCAUAAUGACUCCGGUCCAAAGAUUUAUCGCCCAGGGAUGAGCCCGCGUCGGAUUAGCUAGUUGGUAGGGUAAAAGCCUACCAAGGCAACGAUCCGUAGCUGGUCUGAGAGGAUGAUCAGCCACACUGGGACUGAGACACGGCCCAGACUCCUACGGGAGGCAGCAUUGGGGAAUAUUGGACAAUGGGCGAAAGCCUGAUCCAGCAAUGCCGCGUGAGUGAUGAAGGCCUUAGGGUUGUAAAGCUCUUUUACCCGGGAUGAUAAUGACAGUACCGGGAGAAUAAGCCCCGGCUAACUCCGUGCCAGCAGCCGCAGUAACAC